rnacentral:lncRNA from 1 species
AUCGACGUUUUUCCUUCCUCCAACCAUUUCCAACACUAACAUCCCAAAGCUGUAAACAUCUGAUUUAUAGGAAACACUCCCGAAGUUCCUCGAGAACACUUCCGGGGCAAUGUAGCCAACAGUCCCCCUAGCAGUCGUCAUGGAAAUAGCACUUUUAUCCUUGGAACACAGCUUUGCCAUCCCAAAAUCGGCGAUUUUGGGAUUGAAUUCGUUGUCAAGCAGGAUAUUCUGUGGUUUGAUAUCAAAAUGGAGGAUUCUUUGAUCACACCCCUGGUGAAGAUAUUCAAUCCCCUUGGCUAUGCCUAGAGCAACACGAUUCAACCUUUCCCAGCCAAGGAAAUGGUUCCUUGAGUCUGCUGAGGUUAUGAACUUCUGUAAUGAACCAUUUGGCAAGUACUCAUAAACCAGAGCUCGUCUGAAUCCAUCAGCACAGAAACCGAUCAAGCGAACAACAUUGACAUGGUGGAUCCUUGCCAUUGUUCCCACUUCAUUGAUGAAUUCCUCCCCUUUUCCUAUGGAAUUAUUGAGGAGCUUCACAGCUACAGCAAUUUCAUUGGUUAGCUUUCCUUUGAACACGGUUCCAUAAGCUCCUUGGCCCAAUUCAUCACCGAAUUGAUUUGUGAUCCUCUUGAGAUCAGCGUAGGAGUACCUAGUGGGAUUCAGUGAUCUGUAAUCAUCCAAAAACAUUUCAACCCUGCUUGAUAUUCUCUUUGUGUUUUAUCGUUGCUAUAGGCGCGGUAGAGUGCAGUAAUCACUAUAGCAAAAAGGAAGAAUCCUAAAAUCACACCUGCAUAUCAACAUUCUGAGUCAGGAAAUCUCUGUUUUUUGGGACGUAAGUAUUGAACCAAGUGUAAAAUUGAGAUGGAGAUUUGAGCAGACUACUAACCAGUAAUCAGUAGCUUUCGCCGCACAUCUGUAAGGGAUUGAAUACUUAUUAGCUUCUCCCUUUUGCAGGCAAUGGUAAAAUCAUGAAAGCAACAAAAACGAAAAGAGUUUCUUUAGUGUUUUGUUAUUUACAUAUUCAAAUGCCAAUUAUUAAUUUGAAAAAAGGAAGAAAGAUAGAAAAGCAUACCUUUAGUGUGCUGAAGGUAGCAUUCAGUUACAGAAGAUCCACAAGCUGGAUUGGACCAAGACAUAGUAAGAACAGAAUUUUCUUCCUGCAUCAUACUAUAUGGAAUUCCAUAAAUGUUGUACAUCUUGGUACAAGAUAACAAAUCAGAGUAACUGAUGGGAACACUUGAGUCAACGGCAUAAACUUCAUGCUUAAAAGUACUCAGACAUGGGAUUUUAUACAGAGACCUUUUCUCACUAGAAAGUGAACAAUUGAACAAGGUCCGAUUAUACAGCCAAUCGUUCAUAAUUUGGAAGGGAGAAGCCCCUAAACUGAAGUUUAAACGUUGCCUUGGAAAGCAACCUUGAGGAUACCUUGCAUAAAUAAGUUGAUGUCUAUAGUCAAUUCUUUCGAUGUGGAGACUCAAUCCAGUUGGCAGCUUAAGCACUGUGCUGUUGUCCUCUGAGCAGGAUAGAUCAUACCCAGGAUAGCCACAGUGGUCUGGUUGUUUGUCCUUGAUCCGGAAAGGAAAUCGGAUGUCAGGGCCGGGGUUUCCACAUGAUCCUGUGCAGUUCAAGCUUGCUCCAUGGCCUGCAAGGAAGACAAUGAAAAAGAAGAAGAAACACGUAACCAUUUCUGAUGAAUAAUUCAUCAUCUCCACACUCCUCCUAAGACUUUAUCUGCAUGUGCUGAUAUAGUUUAGGCCUUUCAGAAAACUCAUGUAGUCCUUAGAUGGGCGAGUACUGUAGUACACGCGUCCUUGCAUGAGAAUUUAUUUACUCCAUCGAUCUAGUGUGAUGCUCCUCCCUUUGACAUUCCUCCAAUCACAAACAUGUGGGAUCCCUAGCAAGAAUCUCUCUGUUGACAUAGCAUUCACAACUAAUAUGAAUAGGCACAUGGUAACAUGUUGAAUUUGGAAAUCUAGAACUGGCAGAAAAACUAGAUUCUAUGAAAUGAAUUUUAAUUAAAUGGUCGCCCUCUUAAUGCUUAUGCCAGAAGGGACUAGUAGUCAUGAUGGAUGCGAAAUUCUCAACAUGCAUAUUUGAAUGCAUUAUAUUUAAAUUGUGUUAUUAAUUCUUUUCUUCAUAAAAAGCUACAUACCAUUAACAAGAGAAAAGGAAACAGAAAUCUAAAUUUGUUUGCUGGGUCUAUGCUCUAAUUAGGUUUGGUUAUGUGUGCUUCUAUUCAUUUCUCUAAAUUCUAUAUAUGCAUUGGCCAGGAAAAAAAAUAUCACACUGCAUAAAUUUAUUUUAGAAAAUAACAUAUAUAUUUGAAUUUGUUAGGACAACUUGACUAGUGCAACAAGACAAAAAAAGAAGAAAAGAAAAAGAAAAAGAAAGAUAGCUGGGCCAGAUAAAAGGAAAAGGAACUAAAAAACGCAACUUCGUUACACCAAAAAGAAUGCUAGAAAAAUACUUUCUCAUCGUCAAUGUGAAAAAAGGAGGAAUCCAAACGCAUAUGCAAGUUCCAAAUCGGCUAUUAUGAAAAAUUACAUUAUUUAUGUACCCAAAAUCCAAAUCAAUUAUAACAACAGCUAAAACUACAUAAUAUUUUACUUUACAAGUUCACAGUGAAACACUGAGCUGUCUUUUUCUUUUCUUUUUUUGCUUAUUUGCUUUUUUAGUUGUUUUUUUUCCUUUUUUCUUUGUUUUUUAAAGUUGUUUCUUUUCUUUGUUUUAUUUUUAAUGAAUGUUUUUUUAAUUUUUUUUUUGUUAAUGUUAAAUUUUUUUCUAUUUAGUUAUCAAAUUUUUAUGAUACAGGUUUCGAGUUUAAUGGGUUAACCCAUAUUUUUUUUCUGGUUUUUCUUUAAUUAAUUUUUUUGAGUGCAGCCCACAGUGAAACGCUUAGCUAUCUUUUUUUUUCUGCUUUGUUUUUUUAAGCUGUAUUUUUUUUUUGUUUUUUUUUUUUUAAGCUGUUUUGUUUUCUUUGUUUUUUUUAAUGAAUUUUUUUUGUUUAUUUUUUUUUGUUAAUGUUAAAUUGUUUUCUAUUUAAUUAUCAAACUUUCAUUACAUGGGUUCCGGGUGUGACGAGUUAACCUGAAUUUUUUUUUUCUUUUUAAUUAAUUUUUUCGUUUAAUUUAGUUUGUUAAUGUUAAAUUUUUUUUAUUUAGUUAUCAAACUUUCAUGACACGGAUUCCGGGUUUGACGGGUUAACCCAUCUAAUUCUGAGUUAACCCGUAAUUUUUUUUUUCUAUUCAGUUAUCAAACUUUCAUAACACGAAUUCCAGAUUUGACGGGUUAACCCAAUUAAUUUAGAUUUUUUUUCUUUUUCUUCAUUAGUUUUUUUUCUAUUUAAUUAAUAUUAAAAGAAUGAAGUAAAUGAAUAAAUUGAGUGAUUAUUACCAAUGAGAAUUAUUGAUAAUUUAUAUGAAAUUACUAGAAUUAUGUGAAAGACCGCUUUAACUUUUUUAACCUGGUUGCUCUGUCUCAACCGAUUCAAUUAAUUUCUAGAAAUCAGUUUACUUUUAGCAUUUUCACUAUCUGUCCCUUACAACCGAAGGAAGCAUAUCUUAGAAUAUCUCAUGGAUUUGGACUGGAUUGGGUGUUUUGGUUUUUGAUGAGAUGCUCCAAGAAAAAUAUCAGGCUCGCUGGAUGUCGUUGUUUGUGGUAUUGACAGUUGAUGACUUUUUUUUUUUUAUUACUUUUCAAAGUUAAUGAUUCUGACAUUUCGAAGGAGGUGGGAAAUUAUCUUCGUCUGUGAAGUAGUGUUGAAUGGUGGAUCAAUAACUCACUGUCUGCUUUGCUACUAUUCCUAUCCGAUGACUCUGACAUUUCAAAGGACGACCAGGUAGGGGUGUUCUCCUUCACCUUUCAUUGCAUUAUCGGUAGCUUCCACUCCGAAAUUCAAUAGUUUUUGUUGGAGUAAAAAGAACAGGAAAAAAGAAGAACAGUUUGUGCAAAAAUUGCGUAUACACUGUGUAUCACUUCAGCCUUCCCCAUGUUUAAUUAGAGGAAUGAACGUCCUUUUUGCUUGCUACAUAGCUUUUCUUUUACAGCUAUUAGUCUUCCAAACUUGCCAUUCUAGCAACAUCACUGCUCAUUGUGCUCCUUCUUCAUGCGGCAACAUCCAAAACAUAAGCUACCCUUUCAGACUAGACACUGAUCCACAAAGCUGCGGAAACAAUAAUUAUACUCUGAUUUGCGAGAACAAUAUUUCUACAGUAUUAAAUUUGUAUUCAGGUAAAUACUACGUGCAGGCAAUCAACUACGGUAACUUCACAAUCCGAGUGGUAGAUGCUGGUGUACAAGAUAAUUGCUGCUCCAUCCCUCGUUAUUCUUUGGCACCUGAUAACUUCAGUGACGGAGAUCCGUACACAUGGUAUAACUACAAGCAGGUGCCGCGUGGAAUUUCCGUGUACUCUUGGCGGUACAAUUUACAUUCUACGCUAUCACUGCCUAUGAUUUUCAUGAGCUGUGAAAAUACGGUGAAUUUUCCUCUUUAUGUGGACACGGCUCCCUACGGAUCAGUAAAUUAUUCCAACUCUUCUCUUGUGACUCGUUCGAAUUAUGUGACUCUUGAGGUCAUGAGUGCCUCGGAUUUGAUGGAACUGUGCAGCAUAGAGAAAAUAUUUUUGCUUCCAAAGAAGAGCUACACAUACAAGUCCUUUGAAGAAAUACACAGUGACCUGGCAUAUGGGUUUGAGCUUUCAUGGUACAACAUAAACUGUGGAAAAUGCAGAAGAGGUUGCUACGUCAGCUGGUCAGACAAUCGUCGAUGCUUUGGUAUGUAACACUUGAUGAUUAAGUUGCAUCACUUUGAUUCAUAAGACCAUAUAUAACUUGUGAUUUGAGGUGGUUUCAUAUAUUUUCUCUGGCUUACUUUUCAAUUUUCAUUUUUUUCUGCGCAUUAGCACAAUAUUGCACUGUCCCCAGAUCGAUGUUCAUGUACAAAUUCUGUGCAUCCAUUACCUGUGAAUUCUACUAUAGUGGACUGAUCAUAAGAUUCAUUCAUGUUCAUAUUGUAAAAUAUUCUGACUAUAAUAUGGACAGAUUCAUUGGUCUUUUGCAAUUUCAGGAUUGACACAGUAAACCGUUUGGUUCAUCUUAACUUGACCAUGGAUACACAUUAAUUAGUUCAAGUCACAUUAUUAAAUUGUGUGCGCUCUUAUCUAUUUUUUUUUUCGCAUUUACUGUUACGUAUACCAUUAGAACUCUUUUUUAACCUAAAUUCUCGACAGAUUUUGGUGAAAGCAAUUGGCAACUUAUACUCUACAAUGUGACAGGUGCGAAUUCUAUUUCUACAUCUCACCAUGUUUGUGUAUUCUUACGUGUUUCUUUAAUUAAACUGUUAGAAAUAUUUGAAGAAGAAGAGUAAAAAUAGGAAUAUGAGAAAUAUGGUGAAAAACAAAUCUCAUAGUAAACUCCGCUAAGAGAGGAAGUCCUACUAGACUUGGACUUAGACUUGCAAUAUUUUUAAUAUAUAUUUAUAUUAGUUUAGGAUAAUUCAAGAGAUUUAAAAGAUAAAUAUAUAUUUAAGUAGUUACAUGUAUAUAUUUAGGAGACAUCUAGGAAAACUAAAACUAAAAGACACUUUAAAUGUAGACUUGAAAAUUAAUUCUAACAUAAACAACAUGUUUGUGAAAUAAGGAUUGUUGUUUCUUGAAUAGUAAUUGUAAUUUUGUUCACCAUUUUCUGCAGCUUUCCUCCUCUAUAUAUACGUUUCAAUUGGUAAGAGAUUCCUUCAUUUCUUUAGUUUCGCAACAUAUUUCUAGUGGAGACAACAAAUAAGAUCACAAAACUUGAUUGUUUUCUGGAAAUUUCCUACACAGCACUACUUCAUGUGCUAAAAGUUGUUUGUGGGACUCCAUGUGUGAUUAUAUUUUUGAUCUACAAAUGGCAAAGGAGACAUUUAUCAGUAUACGAUACAGUUGAACAAUUCCUACAAAGUCAGAAUAACCUGAUGCCAGUAAGGUAUUCCUACUCAGAUAUCAGGAAGAUUACUAGAGGUUUCAAGGACAAAUUGGGUGAAGGAGGCUUUGGUACAGUUUACAAAGGAAAGCUUCGCAGUGGGUGUUUUGCAGCAGUAAAAUUGUUGGGAAAAUCAAAAGCUAAUGGACAGGAUUUCAUAAAUGAAGUUGCUACCAUAGGAAGGAUUCACCAUACUAAUGUGGCGCAGCUAAUCGGUUUUUGCGCCGAAGGAUCAAAGCGUGCUCUUGUAUAUGAUUUCAUGGCUAAUGGAUCUCUUGAUAGACACUUGUUUUCUCGAGAAGGAUCAAUCUCUUUAAGCUGGCAAAAACUGCAUCAUAUUUCCCUUGGAGUGGCUCUUGGUAUCGACUAUCUUCAUUUAGGCUGUGACAUGCAAAUACUUCAUUUUGAUAUCAAGCCUCACAACAUUCUUCUCGAUGAAAAUUUCACUCCAAAAGUCUCUGACUUCGGGCUCGCUAGGUUGUACCCAAACGAAUGGCAGCAUCACAUCUCUUACUGCAGCAAGGGGCACCAUAGGAUACAUGGCUCCUGAAUUGUUCUACAAAAACAUUGGACGUGUCUCCUAUAAAGCUGAUGUUUAUAGCUUCGGAAUGCUGCUAUUGGAAAUGGCAGGCAAAAGGAAAAAUGUAAACGCGUUGGCAGAAAAUUCAAGUCAAAUCUACUGGCCAUAUUGGGUUCAUGACCAAGUAUCUGAUGGAAAGGCCAUAGAAAUCGGAGACGAUGCCACGGAGGAAGAACGUAAGAUCGUCAAGAAGAUGAUUAUGGUUGGAUUGUGGUGUAUACAAAUGAAACCCAUGGAUCGGCCUACAAUGAGGAAUGUUGUGGAGAUGCUGGAAGGAGAUUUGGAAAACUUGCAAUUGCCUCCUAAGCCUGUCUUCAAUCUAGAUGUGACGCCACCAAACAUUGAAGGAGAGUCAUCAUCGUUGCCAGGUGAUUCUACCGAAUCAACCAGUUUGGUUGAAAAUGCAUACUAAGUUAUAUGAUGUGGAAUGCUAUGCUUACAUGCAGGGAAAAUGAAUAAUGGUGCUUUCGGACUUGGUUAUGAUAAUUUGCAAUACUUGCUUUUAUCUGAUUUGUGUUUAGCUAAUUUAGAGUUCAAGCUGCGGCUUGUUUCUUCGGUGUGGUCUAUAUAAUCAUCAUACAAAGAUGUUCUGUAUUGUGUUUAACUAUCAGAUUUCCACUCUGUUUGGCAAUCAUAGCAGUUGGCGAGGAUGGAACAUCCUCCAUGAUAACUGUUCCAUGUUCUACAUAUUAAUUAUCCUAUAUUUUUCUCCAACAGAAUAAUAUUUUGGCUACAAAUUAACAAGAGACUAUCACAGGGAUUAUAUAAACAAGUUGAUGCAUGAAAAGACGAGUCUCUAUUUAUAGGUAGCCACUACAAGUAGCUUCGGAGACCACAAAUACAAGUCAAGUCUCUCUAGUAAUCCUUCCACUAUAAGUAGCUUCGGAGAUAGAAAAUAGCGAUUUAUUUGCUAUCAUAGGGAUGAUUCUGAACAGAGGGGCUUAAUUUCAUUUUCUUCCACCAACAAUGCCUUCUUGUCAAUGUUCAGCCCCAUGAUAAUCGAUCUAGCGUCACCAUUUGCACAUUACCAUAUCUUGCAUAAGCCACGAGGAACCAAUCACAACAAAACAGGAUUGAAAACCAUGACCAUAACGGGUGCUGUGAAAUGAAUAUUGAAACAGAUGGGUGAAUUUGAUGCAGAAAAGUAGAGAGGAGACAAUGAAGCUUGCUUACCGGUCAUGGCAUUUCACCAGGGAGCUCUGCUUCUUCAAAAAUGCUCAACUGUGUUCAACAACCUUUCAGGAUCUGCUUCAAUUUUCUUAAGAGAAUGGGAAACAGUGAACGGGAUCCUCGUUAGCUGCGGGCAAUCACCGACUGUAAUUUCCUCAAGAGAAUAGAAGACUUCCAGAAUAAAUGCUAUUCAAAUUAUGACAUUUGUUCUACGAGAUAUUCCCACUUUCUCAGGAUGAAAAUCAUCCCACAAAUCAUCAAGAAUGAUAACAUGGUUUUGAAUCGCACUCAAUGCUGUCCUUAGCUCCCCAGCUCUACUCGUCACAUCUUUUCCUUUCGGAAGACAUAAACCAAAAGCUUCCUCAAUGAGAUCCUGCAAUGCGUGAAUGCUAAAUUCUUGUGACAUAGCAAUCCAACAAACAUGAAAAAAAAUGUCUGGUUUAUCUUGAACCUGGUUAUGGAUAUGUGCAGCCAAAGUUGUCUUUCCCACUCCUCCCAUCCCGUAAAUGCCAAUGCAUGAGACCUCACCACUCAACAACCAAGACCAGACAUCCUUCAUGUUUCUUUCAAUAGCUUGACCCACUAGCUUCGUUGUCGGGAAUACAUAUCUUUUAGUCCUGCGUCGCUUAUGUACAGGCCUUUUAGAAUAGCUUACCGUGUAAAUUCUCAAGUCAUGUUCUCUAUAUAAAUUCUUAACAAAACAUCCCUCGUUGAUGAGGAUGAGAUGUUAUUCGAGAUCAUUUCAAAUGCCUGACAUGUUUUCUCUGUUCUCUGUCUGGUCUCGGGUUCAUCUGGCAUAAGUACAACAUGAGCUCUAGGUUCCUCAACAAUCUCAGUCUCCCCAUCCUAGGCCCCCAUCAAAAAGAGGAGGUUCUUCUUGUUCCAUUUCUAAACACCGCACAGGAGUUGAAGCUGCAUUAAUUGCCUCGUUAUUGCUUGAACUUGGCACGCUCCUAUCUACAGGCCUGUUAGAAGAGCUUCCUCUCUCAGCAACAGACUGCAUCAAUUCCCAAGUCAUGUUCUUUAUACCACUGCUCGACUCAGCAUCCUUCAUCAAGGAAGACGAGAUGCUAUUCAUAUCCAUUUCAAAUGCUUAACCUGCUGGCUCUGUUCCCAAUCCAGUCUCAGGUGCAUCAGGCAUAAGCAUGCUAGGAACCAUGGUCUCCUCAUCAGUAAGCACAAUCUCUCCCCCAAUCAUCCUAUCCAUCCACGCCAAUCCAUCAUCCAAAAGAGGCUGUCCUUCUUUACUGUGGACAGCACGCCAACAUUACAAAUGAAGAGAAAGAUCACAUCCACAGAUGGAGAGAAAGCAAUAGGCCAAGAAAAGAGUAGAGUUGACCUUGAGAGCAGUAUGUUCACAGACGGAGACGGUGGAGAAUGAGACUAACAAAAAACCUUUAAGUUGGCGUGCUGUCCACAUUAUAUAUGUAUGGUAUUCAUUAUCGGUUCUUUUAAUUAUACUCAAAUCCUACUCAAACGAUAACUGUCAUGUAGGGAUUUGAUCUUCUACUUAGAUGGUCUAACAGAUUUUUUAUUAAUAAGUAGGACAAGCCUAAACUUAAUCGAAGAUUUGAUUAUUUGCUAGGUCGAUAUCUUAAAACUGAGAUAUCUAGAAAUUCGAUCGUUGAAUUAAAUUUAAAUUUUUUUUUAAGUGAUUAAAAAGACAGUUUUCCUAUAAAAAGCAAUUGUGUAUCUUUUUACAUGAUUUGGAGUCUGGAUGCCCUUGUUUUGGCCAAUUUUGUUAUUUUUCCUAGGGUGUUUCAAAUUUCUUGUAUUAUUAUAGGUUUUGUUUUAUUUUUUUUUUAAUUUUUGGACUUUGAGUUGUCUCUUAGUGAGUUAGAUUAAAAAGGUAAUUCUUCUAGGCACUUAGACUUGGUAGUGUAUCAAGUCUAGGAUAGCGUUUGUUUAACACACAUGUUAAACCCAAUACGUUUAAAUUUAACAGUCAAUUAAACUCAAUGUAAUAUAAAUAAGUAGUGUAGGCCUGAUACACAUGCGAAACCUAAGACCACGUACAAAAUAAUAACUAUCAUCUCUUAACAUGUCUAUGAAAAUGACCAACCUCCCUUUGGCUCUCUAAACAACUGGAAAACACAUUAUCAGCACUGGCGUUGUAGACUGUCGUCUGCCUAGGAUAAAUAUGAAAUGUUUAAGUUGAUGCUGGAAAUCUGAAAUGUUAAUUUCUAUCACCCUCCCGAUCACUCACAUAAAUAGCAUGACGUCAUACCUUUACUAUGAGGUAAAGGUUCCAAUACCAAAAUACAAAACAAUCCCUGGAAAUCAUAAAAUCCUAAUUUCAUCCCCGGAAUAAUAGCAAAUGACUAGAAAUCAUGGAACAUGCUCAACUGUGUUCAACAAACUUUCAGGAUCUACUUCAAUUUUCUUAAGAGAACGGGAAAUAGUGAUCGGGAUCCUCGUUAGCUGCGGGCAAUCACCCACAGUAAUUUCUUCGAGAGAAUCGCAUAGAAGUCUUCCAGAAUAAAUGCUUUUCAAAUUUGGUAAUUUCUUCAAUACCAAAACCCUCAAUUCAUCAAAUCUACGAAUAGGAGAGGAACUUCCCAUUAUCUCCUGCAUGUUGUAACAAUCUUCGACUACAAUCACUUCCAAUCGGAGUGUAGACAACAACCAAUGAGGGAGCAGCACCUUCAUCCUAUGACAUUUAUGUAUCACCAUCUCUCUGAGUUUCAAAAAGGCACCAAUAGCACCUCGCUUUGAAUGUACUUCAAAAACGGUUUCUAAGAUUAUCAAACCAUCAAGGUGUAGAAUCUGAGGCCCUCCAAUUACAACUGAUGGAAAUAAGCUUCUCAUGUUUUGACAACUCACAAAUACUACUUUUGUAAUGAGGCACGGGAACAGAAAAGUUGCAUUGUCAAUCAUGAGGUCAUAAAACCAAGCCUCUUUAAUUAACCCUGACUCUGAUCUUGCAUAAUUUAGAUCCUCGAGUGAAGAGAAACAAGGUCGUCCUACAGUAACCUUGCAUGCAAUUAGUGAACAUCUCUGUCCGCGACGGAAAACUCUGAAAUCGUGUAGAUCACGGAAGUUGCAUUCCAAAGUUUCCAAAUGAUAUAAUGUGGAAACUUCAUCUCCUCUAACUGAGAGAACAACUUCAGAUUUCUGAUGAAGCUUGAGGAACUGUAAUUUUGAGAGUUGGGGUAAAAUACCCGACCGUAAAACACGCACCCCACUUCCAUCAAGAUUAAGAUACCUUAGAUCCUCCAGCCGUUCCAUUCCCUCGGGCAAAUCUUCAAGUCCAGUGUAACUGAGAUCCAACUUCUCCAAUGCCUUAAGCUUUGCUAAUGAUGGUACAUAACUCAGCUUUGCACACCAUCCCAGCAACAAUGCAGUUAGACUCGUCAGAUGACAAAUAGAAUCCGGCAACUUCUCUAUAUCUGUGUCGGAAAGAUCAAGAACCUUGAGUCCGAUGAGGUGCUGGAAAAAAGAUUCCUCAACCAAAUCCAAUUUGUAGUUUCUGCAUAACAAUAAUGUUGAGAGACGGGGGCACAUUGGUGAAAAGUCUGUUGGAAUAUUCUCGAUUCUAUUUUCCAUGAGUGAAGCUCUUAACAGUUCCUCUCUCCACAAUCUUACAUCGGGUAAUUCUGUUAGUUGUGCACCUGCUUGAACCAUAGCCCCCCCACUUUCGUUCAAUAUUUUCCAAGCCAUAUCCCAAAUCAAAUCAUGCAUCUUGACAUAUCUGUAAUCUUCAUCGUCCCUGGAACCUUCUAAUAAGCUGGCAUCUUCAAGUUGAUCAAGCAUGGUAUGGCCCCUAUCAAAUCGUGCAUGCCUUCGCCCCAUUUCUUUGACUAUACCCUCGUCAAUCAAAUACUCUAUCAAGUCCUCUCUCAAGAUGAUCUUGCCUUUUGGAAAUAGUGUGAUAUGUAAGAAGAACUCUUGAAGUGCUGAAUCGUUCAACUGAGCAUAGCUAAAUUUCAAUACUCGAAAUACAUUGGCUUCCAUCUCACCUGGUCCAACUUCUAAUCUUCUCAGUUUUAGCAAUGCAUCUCUCCAACGAUAUUCACCAUCCACUCCCUUCAUGCUUCGAGCCAUUGUCAUGAUUCCAAGGGGCAAACAAGCACACUCCUUCACAAUAGACUCUGCGAUCUCAGGAUAAAGUGUACCACCACGCCCUAAUCUGUAUAUGAACAAAUCCCAAGCCUCGCCCUCAGAAAGAGACUCCACUUUGAUUAUCCUUUGGCAAUCCAUUUUUCGACAUAUCUCCGAUGAUCUUGUUGUGAGAAGCAACUUCCACCCGUCUGUUCUAAGAGGUAUUCCCACUUCGUCAGGAAGAAAAUGACCCCACAAAUUAUCAAGAAUUAAAACACCUUUUAUCACACUCAAUGCUGUCCAUAGCUCCCUGGCUCUAAUCAUCACAUCUUUUUCAUUCUGAAGACAUAAACCAAAAGCAUUGGCAAUGAGAUCCUGCAGUGCGUGAACGCUAAAUUCUCGAGAGUCAGUAAUCCAAUAGACAGGGAAAAAUGUCAGGUUUCUCUUGAAGUUGAUCAAGGAUAUGCGUAGCCAAAGUUGUCUUUCCGACCCCCCCCAUCCCGUAAAUGCCAAUGCAUGAGACCUCAUCAUUCAACAACCAAGAGCAGACAUCCUCCUUAUUUCUUUUAAACGCUUGGCCCACCAUCUUCGUUGUCAGAUCAUAUCUUGUAGUCCUAGGACGCUUAUGUACAGGCCUUUUAGAAGAGCUUCCUCUCACAACAAAAGACUGUUCUUUGUCUAGUCUCGGGUUCAUCUGGCAUAAGAACGACAGGAGCUCUAGGUUCCUCGACAAGCUCAGUCUCCCCCCCAAUCAGAAAACCCUUCCGUCCUCGUUCAUCCGAAAGAGGUUGUUCUUCUUGUUCCAUUUCUAAGCCCCGCAAAGCAGUUGACGCUGCAUUAAUUCCCUCGUUAUUGCUUGAACUUGGCACACUCUUAUCUACAGGCAUUUUAGAACAGCUUCCUCUCUCAGUAACAGCCUGCAUCAACUCCCGACUCUCUAUACCACUGCUUAACUCAACAUCCCUCGUCAAUGAAGAUGUGAUGUUAUUCAUAUCCGUUUCAAAUGCUUGAACUGCUGGCUCUAUUCCCAAUCCAGUCUCAGGUGCAUGCUAGGAACCAUGGUCUCCUCAGGAAGCACAAUCUCUUCCCAAUUCAAGCUAUCCAUCCAUGAAAAAUCAUCCAAAAGAGACUGUCCUUGUUGUUGCAUUUCUAAAUCUUGCGCAGGAUCUGAAUCUGCAGUAACUAUUAUAUUAUUGCUUGAACUUGGCAUGCUCCCACGCAUUCUGUCAGGAAGCUUAUCAAACGCUGCUCGUUGAACAUCUGGAGUUACUUUUUCACAAAUUUUAACACCACCACCUCCAACUCUUUCCAGAUGAUAUUUCAUCCUUGUAGUGGAAGUACUUCCAGCCAAUGUCUUCUCACAAAAAAUGCACUUCAAUAAACCACCAUCCACUUUCUCAAAAUAACUCUGAAAUGGAUCACUUCCUCCAGCCAUUUUUUCUUCUGUGUCCCUACAUACAGACAUAACAAAGAACUUUCAGAAUAUUGAAUUAAAAUGGAACUUAAACUAAUUGAAAAAAAGAAGAAGCUAAGUUUAAGAUAAAAAGAAAAUUGAUUACAGGUGUUUCACUGUCUAAACCAAAGUCAAGUUAAACCACUCCAAAGAUCAAAGUGUUCUUUUCUUUUUACUUUCCCAAUAAUUCUACAACUGGUCAUAUCAGUAAUUUAAUAACCAGUAUGUUUCUUUUUGCUUAGAAGAAUCAAACUACAUGAGUUGGAAAAGAAAUGGUAUGAAAAAAGAGCUAAAAUUAAUCAAACUUAAUUACCUGAACAGCAGAAGCAGCAAGAUGUUAUCCAAUGGUCUGAUUAAAUCAGAAAAAAAGAAGAUGGACGGGGAAGAGUAAGUGUGUUGGAGACGAGUGAUAGAGCUUCGGCUUGCGUGGUUGUGGAUAAGGAUAGAUUCAGACAGUCAGAGAAGCAGAUGACAGUGAAAAAAAGUUAAAUUGACUUCUGUCGUUCAUGGAUGUCAUAUGGACAUGUUGUUGGUCUUCCAGGAAGCGGAUCCGGCGAGGGGUGCUCUAGUGAAGGCGUGGGGGUAGGCGGUGGCUGAUGAUAGUCUCCUCGUGUGGUGGACAGCACGCCAGCUUUGCAAACGAUGAGAAAGAGCACGAUCCACCACAAAACCGCAGAAGAGAAAGCAGCAGGCCGAGAGAAGAAAAGGGAGCAGGAGCAGAGUUGACCGAGAGAGAAGUAGAGCUUGUUAGAGCAUCUAUUAAAUAGCCGAAUGGAAAAAACGGGUUUUUAAAUAGUAUAAAUAUAACUUUUUUAAUUAUAUGUAUUUCAAUAAUAAAAAAUUAAUUAUGUUUUAAUAUAUUUUAUGUUAAAUUAAUUUUAAUAUAAUUAUAUAACUAAUUUAGAUAUUUUAUAUAUAAUAUAAUUAUGAUGUUAUUAAUUAUAUAAUUAAUAUGAGUAGUUUAUAAAAGUAAUAUAAAAUUAAUGAAGUAAUAUGAAAGUUAAAAGAUAUAAUUUAAAAUUGAAUUUAAAAUUUAUUUAUAUGAAUAUCUUUAAUUUUAAGUUUUAUAUGUUAUUGUUAAAUAUUUAAUUUCUUAAAAAGUAAAUUCAAAUUCAAACUUUGAAAAAAUGAUCGCCAACAUUUUAAAUUUUAAAAUUUUAAAUUUUGAAAAAAUUACCGCCAACAUUCUAAGAUUUUACAAUUUGAAAAAAUAAUCCAUCUAUAAAUAUUCUCAUAUACCUUAACAUUUUUUCUCGUCAUUUUCUUCUCUCUAAUCUUUGUUAUAUUUCAUUAAAAUUCAUCAUGAAUCAUUCUAAUUUUAAUUUUUAUGAUGCUUUUGAUUUUGAUGAUGACACUCUUGUGUUUGUUUUUCAAGUUGCUACUGUUGUGGUUGCUGAAGAAGAAUCGAAUAAUCAAGGGUGGAGAACAGGGUAUCGUGCCUCUAUUUCUGGUCACAAUAUUGUCAAUCGUAAUAGAAAGGAAGGUGAGUUAAGGUUAUAUAAUGAUAAUUUUGCAGAAAAUCCUAAAUUCACUGAAAGUCAAUUUCGAAGAAGAUUUAGGAUGAGUCGUCGUCUUUUUCUUCGGAUCGCAAAUGCAGUGGAAGCUUACAAUCCAUAUUUCAAACAAAGAACAAAUGCUCUUGGUGUUCUUGGUUUAUCUUGCCUUCAAAAGGUAACUGCAGCUCAUAAAAUACUUGCAUAUGGUAUUCCUGUAGAUCUUAUUGAUGAAUAUCUUCGAAUUGGAGAAACCACUGAAAUAGAAAGUCUUAGAGCUUUCGUCAAAGCAAUCGUAGAAGUUUUUGGUGAUUGGUAUCUAAGGACACCAAACAAGGUCGAUAUUUGUCGAUUAUUAUCAAUUGGAGAGCAACGUGGAUUUCUAGGGAUGUUAGGGAGCAUUGAUUAUAUGCAUUGGAAAUGGAAGAAAUGCCCAAUUGCAUGGCCUAGGAUGUAUACUGGUCAUUGUCGUGAACCAACUAUAAUUCUAGAGGCGAUGGCUUCACAAGAUCUUUGGAUAUGACAUGCCUUUUUUGGAAUCCCUGGAUCAUUAAAUGAUAUUAAUGUUCUUGAUCGGUCACCUAUCUUUGCUGCACUUGCUGAAGGUUGUACUGCUCAUGUCAAUUAUACAAUUAAUGGGCAUGAAUAUACAAUGGGAUACUAUUUAGCACAUGAGAUUUAUCAUAAUUGGUCAACCUUUGUUAAGACAAUCUCAAGACCAUUAGGAGCAAAGAGAAAAUAUUUUACAAGCAAGCAAGAGUCUGCAAGAAAAGAUGUGGAGCGGGCAUUUGAGGUGCUCCAAUCUCGUUUUGCAAUUGUACGUGGACCUGUUCGAUACUGGGAUGAAGAAACACUUGCAUAUAUUAUGAAAGCUUGCAUAAUAAUGCAUAAUAUGAUUAUUGAGGAUGAAGGAGCAAUGAACCUUGGAUUUGACCAUGAACAUGAAGUCAAUUCCUUUAUAUCAAUGUCAUAUGGUGAAAUACCAGAACUACAUGAUUUUUUUCAAACUCAUAAUCGAAUUAGGGAUAGAGCAACUAGCUCUCAACUACAAGAAGAUUUGAUUGAACAUUUAUGGGAACAAUAUGGCAACGAGUAGAAUCUUUAAAUUUGAACUUCUUAUGUUAUCAUAAUUUUCAAGUUUUUUAUGUUUUUUUUUCAUUAUGGUUGUUAUCUUUUAAGUUAAUUAAUCCUACUUAUUAUUGUUAAGUGUUAGAGAAACUUCAAAAAAGUAUUAUGAAUUAAUAUCAAUUUCAUAACAAUAUAUUUAAAAUAACCAGGAAUUUUCUACAUAUUUAAUUAAAAAUACAUUACAUUACAAUAAAUCAAUCAAAGUUAAUUAAAAAUUAAAACCCCUCUUUUGUAUAAUUUCUAACUUUUUAUUUUGAAAAUACGCUGCAGAAAUUAGAUCCAAAUUAGAAAUAUUCAUUUUCAUAAUUUGUUCUUCUUUCUCAAUCCUGUCCAAUUCUUGUUUCUCUUGACUUUGUUGAAUCAUCAUAGCUUGUUACUCUAACAUAAUUUUCCUGUCUUGUUUCUUCUGAUCCUCAAUUUCAACUAGAGUAUCCCUAAAUUGUUUCCUUGUCUACGUUUAAGUCGUUUCUUUGCAACCUUCUGACCGAUUGGUCUAUCUUGAUAAAUCAAUGGUUCACUAUCUUCUCCUAAACUAACAGAAUCAGGGGUAGAUGGAGUUGAUGAAGCCGGACUUGCAUUGACAUGACUUUUUUGUUUCUUGUUUGACCUUUGAUGUUGACUUGCACGCUCAAAUUGCCAUUUGGGCUCUUUUCUUAAGAUAACCCAAUAAUGUUCUAGUUGAAAUUGUUUGUCAAUGCAAGAAACAUACAUUUGCCAAGCAUCAUUAAUCUGGUAAAUAAAUUAAUUAAUUAAAUAAUGUUAAAAUAUGUGUUAAACAAUUUAACAUAGAAAUGAAUAUUAAAAUUACCCUUGAUUCUUCGGUCAUUCCAUUUUGCUGACGAUUUUUAAUUUGAGUAACAAAUCCAAUAAAUUUACCGACUUCUCUAUUUAUUUCUUGCCAUCUACUUGAGAUGCUUAUUUGGGAACGAUUAUUCAAGUUUCCUCCAUUCUCUACAAAGUAAGUAUGUACUCGAGCCCAGACUGUUUUAUUUGUUGUUCAACUCCUGUAAUUGGAUCCUUGCUUGUAUUUAGCCAUGUAGGGACAAGUAAACAAUCUUUCUCUGGUGAGAAAUUUUUACUUCUUUGUGAUUUUUUUAUCGAAUGGAUAUUUAAAUUCGAGUCUGUUAAGUCAUCAAUUAAUUGAUUAGAAUCACUUGGUUGAGAGAGAAUAUCUUCUGACUCACUCAUAAGAAAGUUGGUAAAAGAGCUUAGAAAAUUUGAAUCUAUCUACAUUAAAAAAAAAAUCUCAAGUUAAAACCUUAUAAGAGAGUGUAAAAGAAGCUCACAUUCAAUGUCUAGCAAUUUUGUAGUUUGCAUACAUGUGAAUUAAUAAUAAGCAUUGCCUCCUACAUAUUCUGAUAUAACAAUUUGACUAUUUUUUUGGAACUAAAAGAGAAUUGAUAUACUGGUUUAAUUAUAUUUUCAACAAGACAAAAUAUAAUUGACCUCAAAUUAAAACAGACAAUCAAAAAUAAAUUUUAAAUAUAUCACUCUAUCUUUUUAUCAAUAUCAACUACCAUUAUUAAUUCCUCUCAAUUUUAUCAAAGAUAUCAACAUAAAUAAAAAUUGUCUUUCUUAACCCAUAUUAAAAACAUAAAAUAAUAAAGAAAUAAAAAUCAUCACAAAUAUUAAAUUAACAACAAAAGAUCUAAAAAAUCAAGAGAUAUAAAAGAGAAUAAAAAAAAGCUUUUAAACAAGCAUACCUUUUAAUUUCAGCUAAUUAACACAACUGAUAUUAUUAAUUAACCGGAGAAUAAUUGAUUCUUGUUUUUUUAAAUUUGAGAGAAGGGUGAGGCACAAUACAAAAUUUUAAAAUCUACAAGUUCUUUCCUCCUAUAUUUAAAGAAAAACAAAAAGAGUUGUUGGCCAACGGCCAAGGUUGUCAAAAACGCUUUUUUGACACGACACGGAACAUUCAAUUUAAACUCGACUCGUAAACUCGAAUCGUAAAAUCGGAAGUAAAAAUUUUUAACUAAAAAUCGUAAAAUCGGAAUUAAAAUAUUUUAACUAAAAUCGUAAAAUCGCAAGUAAAAUAUUUUAAACAAUACAAAUAUCCAAACAUAUUAAAAUACAUAAUUCAAAUAAAAGUAAAAUAAACAAUACAAAUAUCCAAACAUCUUAAAAUACAUAAUUCAAAUAAAAAUUCAUACAUGUCCAUAGUAUUUAAAAAGAUUCCAAAGCCAACAACUCCAUGUAUCAAGAUCAAGCUAAAAAUGGCAAUGGAAUGGGUGCACGUUUGCAUGAUUUGGCAGAACAAAUGAAUAAGGAAGCUAAAGGAGACCAAUUGCGUUACUUAAAAAGAUUGUUCAUCACAUUUAACUGAUUGAUAUACUGGCAAAAAAAGCUUAAUGAAAUGCCUCAAUCACUAAAACAAAAACUAGUGUAGUAAUCAUCAACUCAUAGCAUCUAGGUUAUAUCUUGGACAUUAUUCUGACAAGGAAAUAUGAUAAAACAAGUGCAAUGCCAAAGCAUGCAAAUGGUCACACACUCACAGUCUCACACUCUCUAUUCCGAAAAAAAAAAAAAAACAGAAUACACUCAAUACAGUGCAAACCAAAUAUCACUAAAUCAAAGCCUUGCAGGAUGAUAACAUUUGAGAGAUGCAGUCCGCUUUAAAUUGCUAUCCAGUAAUACACAAAAAGCCUAGAUAAAUUAAAUGCAAAAGACAUUCCAAAUAGGUGCAUCAAUUGCCCUAAAGUUUGCAGUUUUUGGAUUUACAGAAUACCUGCAAUCCUGAAAAUUGGAAUGCUUCCUUGCUUCGCUGGAUCGUUGUCUAUGCAGAUUGCAGAAUUAUAGAAUCUGCAACACCAAAGCAAGCAAGAUCAAACAGAGCAUAGGUGAACAUUAAAAGAAAUCUGGCUUUGCUUGUAAUUAAAAUCGCCAGUCAAAGUGCCAAGCUCCAUUUCCUUCCCUUUGAAUGGGAUUUUCUUAUCAAAUCUUUUUUUCUUUUUAAUGGAUUCCAACGUCAUUAAAUGCUUCAUUGAAGUGAAAAAAUGACUAGGGGAAAAAUGCAGAAAUCUACCAUUUACUUCAGCCCAUUUGCACUUAUGGUGACUGUGAUUUCCUCCGUUGGCUUUUAUCCUUUUUCCAUAAGUAAAGUUGCCUAUACAAGUCCUUAAACUGUUUAAUUUGUUGCAAUUGAUUACCAAUCCUUUAAUGUUUGAAAAUUGGUCUAAUUAUGUUAUUUUAGCCUAGAAAAUAGAAUUGGUUGAUGGUAAAUAGCCUGGCAGUGCAGGUAAAAGUUAGCAUAAAUGCUUAUCCAAAGCUCAGUAAACCAUUGUUAGAAUACCCAGAAGCAAACCACUAAUUUUUAGAAUACCCAGAAGAUAAACAAUGAAUUUCACAGCAUACCCAUAUCAUUUUUUUUUAUCUCUAAUCACCACCAUUAGACAGAAAAAAACAAAGCUUGGGAUUGAGAAUCAAUUCUUACCUUCAUCUCACCAAGAACGCUCUGGAUCGGGGGGGAAUGAUUUCUUGAUUUGCUGGGGAAAGGGGAAAGGGAAAAGGGAAAAGGGAAAGGGAGUCAGGAGGGAGACUGGGAGCAGGGAGAGUGUGAGACAGAAAGGGAAUGAUUUCUUGAUUUCUUGAAGUCACUGGUAGGGUGAGGGUGGUCGCCUGGUCGGGUGGGAAUUGGGAAAGAAAAGAGAUUGUGAAUUUGUGAGACAGGGACAAAGUCAAAAUUUUUGCAUUUCUAAUUGCAUUCGGUCAGGUGACAUUUUGGUUAAGUCGUGAAAACGUAACGUUUUUAACGUUUUUGCGAGUUAUUACGGUUUUAUGCGAUUUUGAUGAUUUUCGAUUUUUGUCUUCGUCUUUACACGUUUUAUGGGUUUUAACUCGUAAAAUCGUAUGAUUUUACGAGUUAAAACGCAUUUUUAACAACCAUACCAACGGCUAUAAAAAUAGCCCUUGGCCAACAAUUAUUUGUUUUUGUCAUUUCUACAGGGAAAUAUAGAAAUGGCUAGCCAGUGAACAAAUAGCUAAAAUAGCUAUUUGUUUGGGUGCUGCGUUAGAGUGAAGAAAUGAAAAGGUAAAAGCUAAAAAUACACUUUUUAAUAUUUGACUCAUGCGUUGGAGAUGCUCUUAAAGCAAUUCAAUUAAUAUAAAAUAAAUAAAAACUUGUAUACAAAGGUUAGAAUUUAUUUAUUCAUUUAUUUAUUUUAAAAGUAUAUAUUUUAAUCUAAAUAUAAAGUAAUUAUAUAUAGACUAAAUUAAAAAUAUUUUUUAUUUUUAAUAAAAAAACAAGAUAAAUAUAUAUCUUUUAACAGGCUCUCAAACUCGCGAUGUGACAUCUACAAGUAUUGAGAGUUUAUCAAUUAGAAAACGAAAAUGAGAAAUGGAUUGCAACUUGGUAAAGAAAUCUGUAAUUUGCAAUGAAAAAAAACAAAAGGCAAAAUAAUGGUAUCAUGCUUGAGAUGAUAGCGAGUAAAAUAACAAUUGAUCUCAAUAUAUUUAGUUCAUUCAUGAAAAAUUAAAUUGUAAAUAAUAUAAAUUGAACUCUAAUUGUUAAAAUUCAUAGAAAUAGAAUAAGAAAAUUUUUAUUGAACUCCUAUUAAAAAAAAAUUCACUAAUACAAAUAUCUUUUUUUAUUAUUAUUAUUAUUCUUUUUCUUCUUCUUCUUUUUUUGCUAGAAUGUGAUUAUCAAAUCAUUUGCUCUCUCCUAAAACUUUUGUGAUAACUUUCCUUUCUUUUUUCAAAAUCCCAAGAUUGAAAUAUGAAAAAAAAAAAAAAUAAAGUUUGAUAAUGAAACAUCAAUCUCUAAAACAAUAGGAAUCAAAUAACAAAAAAAUUGAAAUUUUAAAGAUUAAAUUAAAAUUUUUCAUGUCAAAAUCUGAAUGGUGUAUUUCUUUUUUUUCUUCGUUAAAUCUGGUUUUUGUUUCUUUUAAUUUUUGAUUUGGAACCACAAUUAAAUUUCAAAUUUAAAAAAUCAGAAUCAAACUCAAAUUUAAAUAUCCUUAAAACCAAGCAUGCAAGAGAUAAUGUAAAUCAAAAGAAAUACAAACAAAUGAUACCAUGAUAAUAUAAUUCUAAAGGAUAAAAUUAUAAAAAUAAAAAGUUUAAUAAUCAAAAUUAAAAAUAUAUUAUUCUUAUAAACAGAUGAAUCCACAAUAAAAUAAGUAAAAUAAGUAUGCGUAAAUCAUAUUUGUGCUACAAUUAAAGACCCAUAUGUUUUAGUCAAUGACUAGUAGCGGACCCAUACUAUAUCAUAAGGUUAGAUUUUCUUUUUGUGUAAAAAUUAAUGUUGAGGUGUUGCAAAUAUAUUUUUAAGCAUGAAGAAGAAUUCUCAUUUUAGGUUAUAGACUUGACCAUGUCAAAUAGGAUAGUUUAUUUUAAUUAGAUGAUAGAAAAAAUAGAGUAAUGGAAAUAGAUGUACAAAAUUAAAGAAAAAGUCAUGAUAAUAUAGGGAAAAACUUUAGAGGAUGAAGUUGCAAGAAUUAAAAGUCCAAUAACUAAAAUUAAAAAAAUGAUCUGCUCAUAUGUACAAUCAAAUCCACGACGAAAGCAUGAACAUUGUUUGGUGCCAUAGUAAGAGAUCCUAUGUUCAAGCUAUUUCUGUAAUAAUCUCUAACUGUAAUUUGAGUUCGUCAUCCAAUUGUAAGCUACACGUCGUCUGUGAUUGUCAGUUUUCUAUUCAGACAUUCUGUGAAUAGUCAGUCAAAGUGAAAUACAAGAAAACAAAUCCCUCUCUCCUCUCCCCGCUCUGUAAACUCUCCUUUUAGGUAGCCAUGACUGCGGCCACCAAGAAACACCUACCCUCCUCCGCUAAGCCACCCAAGAACCACCACUCUACCCCCAACACCACCACCACAACAACCCCACAACCUAACAUCACUCAAAACCCUAACCCAACCACCAAUCCAUCACCACUAUCUCCCACCCUCAAAGACCAGGUUUUGUCACGCGCCACCCACAUCACGCACCAAGAACUCCUCAAAAGAAGGUCUUACAAGCUAAAACAGCUCUCAAAAUGCUUCAAAGAUCAUUACUGGGCAUUAAUGGAAGAACUCAAGAUUCAGUACAGAGAGACUUUUUUUGUCUUAUUUUUUUAUAUUAAUUUUUUCUCCUUUCAUAUAAUUAUUUUAUUUUCUUUUAAUUUUUACUUUAUUAACAAAUAAAAUGAGAUAUUUUAAAAAUAUUUUAAAAAAUUAGUUUUAUAAUAUUGACAAACAUUUAUUUUUUGCUUUGAAUUAUUUUUUUUUCUUGCUUUAUUUGUUAUAAUAUCAUUAAAUUAAUUAAUUUCAUUAAAUUUAUUAAAGCAAAUUACCUAUAUAUUAUUUUUAAUAUUUUUAUACUAAAAAUAAUUGGUUCAUGUGAAGCGACCCGCCUAACUAUUCUUAUCUGUAAACAUAUCAUGUUAUCACAAACUUAUUUAAAGCUUGACGCAUUGGUCAAUUAUUUUAUAUUUCAGUGUUUUGUGACAUUAACAAUGAAGUUAUUGAUUGAAGCAUUGGUCCACACUCUUAAAUGGCGAAGACUUCCCCCAUGCGCACUCAGGUCAAUGAUGAACAAUUGUAGGUUUUUUGAUCGCCAAACCUUACUUUUGAAGAUGUCAUUGAAAGUGCCGCCCCAUCUUUUAUUUUUUUUGUUUUUUUUAUGGCGUGGGUGGCGCGAUAAUUUAGUAUUUUUAUUUUUAUGUUUUAAAAAUAUUUUUUAAAAAAUUUAAAAACUAAUAUAUUUUUAAAUUAUUUUGAUGCGUGAAUAUUAAAAAUAAUUUAAAAAAUAUAUAUAAUUAAUAUAUAUAUUUUAAUACAAAAAAUUAUUUAAAAAAUAAUCACACGGUACUAAAUAAUCUCUUGAAAUUGUUGGAGUGUCGGGACUGUUCUCAUAUGUUUUUAUAUUUUUUUUUAUUUCAGUUUUUAUUCUAUUAAUUUUAUAAUUUUUUAUUUGAUACUUUUAUUUAAAAUUUUAAUCGCUUUCAAUAAAGCUUGUCGGUGGUAAAACACACUCCGAAGCAAUCUGUGGUUCAACGACAAAAAUAUGAGCUUUCUUUUCUGUUCGUUUCUGUGGUCCACCACCUUUAAUUUCUUUCAUGGCAAGAGUUUUGCCCCCAUGCGCAAUUAGGUCAAUGACGAAGAAUUGUAGGGUUCUUGCUUAUUUCUUCUGGUCCAGAAGCCUGUGCCGUGUAACAAUCUAUGGGUAGAAAUUAAUGGCAAAGGGAAGAGAUGAAAGAAGAAGGUCCAUCAAAAUCCUUCUAUCCUCCCUGCAACUCCUUCAGAAUUCUAGGACUUGUUUAUUUUUGUAUUUUUAAAAUAUUUAAAAAAAAUUAAUUUUUUUUAUUUGUUUAAAAUUAAAACACGUCAAUUACAAGAUAUUAAAUAAUCAAAGAAAACAUCCAAGUUUAACAUCAUAAAAUAAUAAUAAAUUAGUUCAUUGUAUAGAGAACAGUAAAUUUAUCUUAAUAAAAAAUUAAAUGAAAUCAAUCGUAUGAAAGUGAAAUAAAACAAUAAGUGAUGCCUAAUCCUUUGAUCUCCCACCAACAAUCUUUUAGCAAUAUUUUGUUGAAAAAGUGUACCUCUAAUCUUACAGUUUUGUUCUUAGUUUUAUUGUCUUCAUUUGUAUUCUAUCAUAUGAGUUUCCAGACUUGUAGGUAAACAUAAAUGCAUCUAGCAACAAUUUCUCUAAGUUUUUUUAUUGAAUCUAUGAAAAGAAUUUCAAGAAGUUAAUUACGAAUUUAUAUAAACUCUUGUACUAAAACAAUCAAAUUAUAUUAUGAAAUUAAUUUUGUUAUUAAUACUUCAUUGAAUUCAGAAUUUGUGAUCCAAAUGGUUAAUUUGACCAUGGUCUUGGAGAGUUUUUUUAUUUUUUUUUAUCUGAAAGAUAUUCAUCUUCAAAUUUUAUUAGAAAAAAAUAUCACAAAUAAAAAGUAAAUUUUAAAUUUUUACAAAAAUAUUUUUAAAACAUAUAAAUAUACACAGACAGUUAGUAUUGUCAUUGACAUGGUCUUGAUGAUGACUUACCAAAAUAAUUUUCAAUUGUCGAUGCUCCAUAGAGUGUUUAAGGCACAAGCCACUCUCUCCCAGUGAAGCAAUGAUUUUUAGUCCAAGUUAUCAUGUGCGUGCUUGAAAGUUUUUUUGUCCCGUAAUUGCAGCAAAAUUUGAAUUUUGCACCUAAAACGAUCGUUAGCAAAAACAAUCUGUAAUUUUUCUUGCAAAGAUCUGUAAGGUAAUUAUAAGAUUAUCAGCACUGGAUAAAUAGAAAAAUCUUGGAUUUAGAACUAGAAAAAUCUUCUAAAUGAAUAAUAGAAAAGAAAAGAAAAGAGAAGAGAAGAAAGAAAGCUAAGCUUUACAACUGGAAAAAACAUUAUCAGCACUGGAUAAAUAUGAAAUGUUUAAGUUAAGUUGAUGCUGAAAUUCUGAAACGUUUAUUUCUAUCACCCUCCCGAUCACUCCUUAGUCCUUACAUAAAUAGCAUGACGUCAUACCUUUACUAUGAGGUAAAGGUUCCAAAACCAGAAUACAAAACAAUCCCUAGAAAUCAUAAAAUCCUAAUUUCAUCCCUUACUAAGGGGAAAUAGCGAUCGGGAUCCUCGUUAGCUGCGGGCAAUCACGCACAGUAAUUUCUUCGAGAGAAUCGCAAAGAAGUCUUCCAGAAUAAAUGCUAUUCAAAUUUGGUAAUUUCUUCAAUACCAAAACCCUCAAUUUAUCAAAUCUACGAAAAGGAGAGGAAUGCUCAUCACUUCCCAUUAUCUCCUGCAUGUUGUAACAUUCUUCGACUACAAUCACUUCCAAUCGGAGUGUAGACAACAACCAAGGAGGGAGCAGCACCUUCAUCCUAUGACAUUUAUGUAUCACGAUCUCUCUGAGAUUCCAGAAGACUAGCUCUGAAGGUGCUUCAAAAAGGGUUUCUAAGAUUAUCAAACCAUCAAGGUGUAGAAUCUCAAGCCCUUCAAUUUCAUCUGAUGGACAUAAGCUUCUCAUGUUUUGACAUCUCACAAAAACUACUUUUGUAAUGAAGAGCGGGAUCAGACGAUUUGCAUUGUCAAGCUUGAGGUCAUAAAACCAAGCCUCUUUAAUUAACCCUGACUUCGAUCUUGUAUAAUUUAGAUCUUCAAGUGAAGAGAAACAAGGUCGUCCUACAGUAACCUUGCAUGCAAUUUGUGAAAAUCUCCGUCCACGACAGAAAUAUACGAAAUCGUCUAGAUCACGGAAGUUGCAUUCCAAAGUUUCCAAAUCAUAUAAUCUGGAAACUUCGUCUCCACUAACUAAGAGAACAACUCCAAAUCCCUGAAGAAGCUUGAGGAACUGUAAUUUUGAGAGUUGGGGUAAAAUACCCGGCCGUAAAAAACGCACCACACUUUGAUCAAGAUUAAGAUACCUGAGAUCCUUCAGCCCUUCCAUUCCCUCGGGCAAAUCUUCAAGUCCAGUGUAACUGAGAUCCAACUUCUCCAAUGCCUCAAGCUUUGCUAAUGAUGGUACAUAACUCAGCUUUGCACACCAUCCCAGCAACAAUGCAGUGAGUCUCGUCAGAUGAGAAAUAGAAUCCGGCAACUUCUCUAUAUCUGUGUCGGAAAGAUCAAGAACCUUGAGUCCGAUGAGGUGCUGGAAAAAAGAAUCCUCGACCAAAUCCAAUUUGUAGUUUCUGCAUAACAAUAAUGUUGAGAGACGGGGGCACAUUGGUGAAAAGCCUGUUGGAAUAUUCUUGAUUCUAUUUUCCAUGAGUGAAACUCUUAACAGUUCCUUUCUCCACAAUCUUACAUCGGGUAAUUCUGUUAGGUGUGCACCUGCUUGAACCAUAGCCUCCCCACUUUCGUUCAAUAUUGUCCAAGCCAUAUCCCAAAUCAAAUCAUGCAUCUUGACAUAUCUGUAAUUUUCAUCGUCCCUGGAACCUUCUAAUAAGCUGGCAUCUUCAAGUUGAUCAAGCAUGGUAUGGCCCCUAUCAAAUUGUGCAUACCUACUCCCCAUUUCUUUGACUAUACCCUCGUCAAUCAAAUACUCUAUCAAGUCCUCUCUCCAGAUGAUCUUGCCUUUUGGAAAUAGUGUGAUAUGUAAGAAGCACUCUUGAAGUGCUGAAUCGUUCAACUGAGCAUAGCUAAAUUUCAAUACUCGAAAUACAUUGGCUUCCAUCUCACCUGGUCCAACUUCUAAUCUUCUCAGUUUUAGCAAUGCAUCUCUCCAACGAUAUUCAAAAGCAUUGGCUCCCUUCAUGCUUCGAGCCAUUGUCAUGAUUCCAAGGGGCAAACCAGCACACUCCUUCACAAUAGACUGUGCGAUCUCAGGAUAAAGUGUACCACCACGCCCUAAUCUGUCUAUGAACAGAUCCCAAGCCUCACCCUCAGAAAGAGGCUCCACUUUGAUUGUCCUUUGGCAAUCCAUUUUUCGACAUAUCUCCAGUGAUCUCGUUGUGAGAAUCAACUUCCACCCGUCUGUUCUAAGAGGUAUUCCCACUUCGUCAGGAAGAAAAUCACCCCACAAAUUAUCAAGAAUUAAAACACCUUUUAUCACACUCAAUGCUGUCCAUAGCUCCCUGGCUCUAAUCAUCACAUCUUUUCCAUUCUGAAGACAUAAACCAAAAGCAUUGGCAAUGAGAUCCUGCAAUGCGUGAACGCUAAAUUCUCGAGAGUCAGUAAUCCAAUAGACACAGGGAAAAAUGUCAGGUUUCUCUUGAAGGUGAUCAAGGAUAUGUGUAGCCAAAGUUGUCUUUCCGACUCCCCCCAUCCCGUAAAUGCCAAUGCAUGAGACCUCAUCAUUCAACAACCAAGAGCAGACAUCCUUCAUAUUUCUUUUAAACGCUUGGCCCACUAUAUUCGUUGUCAGAUCAUAUCUUGUAGUCCUAGGACGCUUAUGUACAGGCCUUUUAGAAGAGCUUCCUCUCACAACAAAAGACUCUGUUCUUUGUCUAGUCUCGGGUUCAUCUGGCAUAAGAACGACAGGAGCUCUAGGUUCCUCGACAAGCUCAGUCUCCCCCCCAAUCAGAAAACCCUUACGUCCUCGUUCAUCCGAAAGUGGUUGUUCUUCUUGCUCCAUUUCUAAGCCCCGCAAAGCAGUUGAAGCUGCAUCAAUUCCCUCGUUAUUGCUUGAACUUGGCACACUCUUAUCUGCAGGCAUUUUAGAACAGCUUCCUCUCUCAGUAACAGCCUGCAUCCAUUCCUGAAGAGUGAUGUUAUUCGUAUCCGUUUCAAAUGCUUGAACUGCUGGCUCUAUUCCCAAUCCAGUCUCAGGUGCAUCGGGCAUAAGCAUGCUAGGAACCAUGGUCUCCUCAGACAGGAAAAACUCUCCCCCAGUUAUCCCAUCCAUCCAUGAAACAUCAUCCGAACUUGGCAUGCUCCCACGCAUUCUGUCAGGAAGCUUAUCAAACGCUGCUCGUUGAGCAUCUGGAGUUACUUUUUCACAAAUUUUAACACCACGACCUCGAACUUUUGCCAGAUGAUAAUUCAUCCUUGUAGUGGAAGUACUUCCAGCCAAUGUCUUCUCGCAAAACAUGCACUUCAAUAAACCACCAUCUUUCUCAAAACAACUCUGAAAUGGAUCACUUCCUCCAGCCAUUUUUUCUUCUGUGUCCCUACAUACAAACAUAACAAAGAACUUUCAGAAUAUUGAAUUAAAAUGGAACUUAAACUAAUUGAAAAAAAGAAGAAGCUAAGUUUAACAUAAAAAGAAAAAUUGAUUACAGGUGUUUCACUGUCUAAACCAAAGUCAAGUUAAACCACUCCAAAGAUCAAAGUGCUCUUUUAUUUUUACUUUCCCAAUAAUUCUACAACUGGUCAUAUCAGUAAUUUAAUAACCAGUAUGUUUCUUUUUGCUUAGAAGAAUCAAACUACAUGAGUUGGAAAAGAAAUGGUAUGAAAAAAGAGCUAAAAUUAAUCAAACUUAAUUACCUGAACAGCAGAAGCAGCAAGAUGUUAUCCAAUGGUCUGAUUAAAUCAGAAAAAAGAAGAUGGACGGGGAAGAGUAAGUGUGUUGGAGACGAGUGAUAGAGCUUCGGCUUGUGUGGUUGUGGAUAAGGAUAGAUUCAGACAGUCAGAGAAGCAGAUGACAGUGAAAAAAAGUUAAAUGGACUUCUGUCGUUCAUGGAUGUCAUAUGGACAUGUUGUUGGUCUUCCAGGAAGCGGAUCCGGCGAGGGGUGCUCUAGUGAAGGCGUGGGGGUAGGCGGUGGCUGAUGAUAGUCUCCUCGUGUGGUGGACAGCACGCCAGCUUUGCAAACGAUGAGAAAGAGCACGAUCCACCACAAAACAGCAGAAGAGAAAGCAGCAGGCCGAGAGAAGAAAAGGGAGCAGGAGCAGAGUUGACCGAGAGACAGGUAGAGCUUGUUAGAGAUGGAGAAAAUAACUUCUUAAAUAGUGUAAAUAUAAUUUUUUUUAAUUAUAUAUAUUUUAAUGGUAUAAAAAUAUUUAGAAAAGUUAAUUAUAUUUUAAUAUAUUUUAUGUUAAAUUAAUUUUAAUAUAAUUAUAUAACUAGUUUAGAUAUUUUAUAUAUAAUAUAAUUAUGAUGUUAUUAAUUAUAUAAUUAAUAUGAGUAAUUUAUAAAAGUAAUAUAAAAUUAAUGAAGUAAUAUGAAAGUUAAAAGAUAUAAUUUAAAAUUAAAUUUAAAAUUUAUUUAUAUGAAUAUUUUUAAUUUUAAGUUUUAUAUGUAAUUGUUAAAUAUUUAAUUUUUUUAAAAGUAAAUUCAAAUUUAAACUUUGAAAAAAUGACUGCCAACAUUUUAAAUUUUGAAAAAAUUACCGCCAACAUUCUAAGAUUUUACAAUUUAAAAAAAUAAUCCAUCUAUAAAUAUUCUCAUAUGCCUUAACAUUUUUUUUCUCGUCAUUUUCUUCUCUCCAAUCUUUGUUAUAUUUCAUUAAAAUUCAUCAUGAAUCAUUCUAAUUUUAAUUUUUAUGAUGCUUUUGAUUUUAAUAAUGACACUCCUAUGUUUGCUUUUCAAGUUGCUACUGUCGUGGUUGCUGAAGAAGAAUCGAAUAAUCAAGGGCGAAGAACAGGAUAUCGUGGCUCUAUUCAUGCUCACAAUAUUGUCAAUCGUAAUAGAAAGGAAGACAAGUUAAAGUUAUAUAAUGAUUAUUUUGUAGAAAAUCCUAAAUUCACUGAAAGUCAAUUUCGAAGAAGAUUUAGGAUGAGUCGUCGUCUUUUUCUUCGGAUCGCAAAUGUAGUAGAAGCUCAUAAUCCAUAUUUCAAACAAAGGACAUAUGCUCUUGGUGUUCUUGGUUUAUCUUGCCUUCAAAAGAUAACUGCAGCUCACAGAAUACUUGCAUAUAGUAUUCCUGCAGAUCUUACUAAUGAAUAUCUUUGAAUUGGAGAAAUCACUGCGAUAGAAAGUCUUAGAGCUUUCGUCAAAGCAAUCAUAAAAGUUUUUGGUGAUUGGUAUCUAAGGGCACCAAACAAGACCGAUAUUUGUCGAUUAUUAUCAAUUGGAGAGCAGCGUUGAUUUCCAGGGAUGUUAGGGAGCAUUGACUGUAUGCAUUGAAAAUGGAAGAAAUGCCCAAUUGCAUGGCAUGAGAUGUAUACUGGUCAUUAUCGUGAACCAACUAUAAUUCUAGAGGCGGUGGCUUCACAACAUCUUUGGAUAUGGUAUGUCUUUUUUGGAAUGCCUGGAUCAUUAAAUGAUAUUAAUAUUCUUGAUUGGUCAUCUAUCUUUGUUGCACUUGCUGAAGGUCGUACUGCUCCUAUCAAUUAUACAAUUAAUGGGAAUGAAUAUACAAUGGGAUACUAUUUAGCAGAUGAGAUUUAUCUUAAUUGGUCAACCUUUGUUAAGACAAUCCUAAGACCAUUAGGAGCAAAAAAAACAAAUAUUUUGCAAACAAGCAAGAGUCUGCAAGAAAAGAUGUGGAGCGGGCAUUUGGAGUGCUUCAAUCUCGUUUUGCAAUUGUACGUGGACCUGUUCGAUACUGGGAUGAAGAAACGCUUGCAUAUAUUAUGAAACCUUGCAUAAUAAUGCAUAAUAUGAUUAUUGAGGAUGAAGGAGCAAUGAACCUUGGAUUUGACCAUGAACAUGAAGUCAAUUCCUUUAUAUCAGUGUCACAUGGUGAAAUACCAGAACUACAUGAUUUUCAUCAAACUCAUAAUCGAAUUAGGGAUAGAGCAACUAGCUCUCAACUAUAAGAAGAUUUGAUUGAACAUUUGUGGAAACAAUAUGGCAACGAGUAGAAUCUUUAGAUCUGAACUUCUUAUGUUAUCAUAAUUUUCAAGUUUUUUAUGUUUUUUUUUUCAUUAUGGUUGUUAUUUUUUAAGUUAAUUAAUCCUACUUAUUAUUGUUAAGUGUUAGAGGAACUUCAAAAAAAUAUUAUGAAUUAAUAUCAAUUUCAUAACAAUAUAUUUAAAAUAACCAAGAAUUUUCUACAUAUUUAAUUAAAAAUACAUUACAUUACAAUAAAUCAAUCAAAGUUAAUUAAAAAUUAAAACCCCUCUUUUGCAUAAUUUCUAACUUUCUAUUUUGAAAUAUACAUUUUCAUAAUUUGUUCUUCUUUCUCAAUCCUGUCAAAUUCUUGUUUCUCUUGACUUUAUUGAAUCAUCAUGGCUUGUUGCUCUUACAUAAUUUUCCUGUCUUGUUUCUUCUAAUCCUCAAUUUCAACUAGAGUAUCCCUAAAUUGUUGUAAGAGAUUCGUUACAGUUACCUCCCCAACUUUAUCUUUUCCUUGUUUACUUGUACAUCGUUCAUUUGCAGCCUUCUGACCGAUUGGUCUAUCUUGAUAAAUCAAUGGCUCACUAUCUUCUUCUAAACUAACAGAAUCAAUGGUAGAUGGAGUUGAUGAAGUCGGACUUGUAUUGGCAUGACUUUUUUGUUUCUUAUUUGACCUUUGAUGUUGACUUGCACGCUCAAAUUGUUAUUUGGGUUCUUUUCUUAAGAUAACCCAACAAUGUUCUAGUUGAAAUCGUUUGCCAACGCAAGAAUCAUACAUUUGUCGAGCAUCAUUAAUCUGGUAAAAAAAUAAAUAAAUUAAAUAAUAUUAAAAUAUGUGUUAAACAAUUUAACAUAGAAAUGAAUAUUAAAAUUACCCUUGAUUCUUCAGUCUUUCCACUUUGUUGACGAUUUUCAAUUUGAGUAACAAAUCCAACAAAUUUACCGACUUCUCUAUUUAUUUCUUGCCAUCUACUUGAGAUGCUUAUUUAGGAACGAUUAUUCAAGUUUCCUCCAUUCUCUACAAAGUAAGCAUACACACGAGCCCAUAACUGUUUUGUUUGUUGUUCAACUCCUGUAAUUGGAUCCUUGCUUGUAUUUAGUCAUGCAGGGACAAGUAAACAAUAUUUCUCUGGUGAGAAAUUUUUACUUCUUUGUGAUUUUUUUGCUGAAUGGACAUAUAAAUUCAAGUAUGUUAAGUCAUCAAUUAAUUGAUUAGAAUCACUUGGUUGAGAGAGAAUAUCUUCUGACUCACUCAUAAGAAAGUUGGUAAAAGAGCUUGGAAAAUUUGAAUCCAUCUACAUUAAAAAAAAAAAAAAAACUCAAGUUAAAACCUUAUAAGAGGGUGUAAAAAAAGCUCACAUUCAAUGUCUAAUAAUUUUAUAGUUUCCAUAUAUGUGAAUUAAUAAUAAGCAUAGCCUUGUAAUUGUUCUAACAUAACAAUUUGACCAUUUUUUGAAACUAAAAGAGAUUUGAUAUACUGGUUUAAUUGUAUUUUCAACAAGACAAAAUAUAAUUGACCUCAAAUUAAAACAGAUAAUAAAAAAUAAAUUUUAAAUAUGUCACUCUAUCUUUUUAUCAAUAUCAACUACCAUUAUUAAUUCCUCUCAAUUUUAUCAAAGAUAACAACAUAAAUAAAAAUUGUCUUCCUUAACCCAUAUUAAAAACAUAAAAUAAUAAAGAAAUAAAAAUAAUCACAAAUAUUAAAUUAACAACAAAAGGUCUAAAACAUCAAGAGAUAUAAAAGAGAAAAUAGAAAAAGCUUUUAAACAAGCAUACCUUUUAAUUUCAACUAAUUAACACAACCAAUGUUAUUAAUUAACUGGAGAAUAAUUGAUUUUUAUUUUUCUAAAUUUGAGAGAAGGGUGAGGCACAAUACAAAAUUUUAAAAUCUACAAGUUCUUUCCUCCUGCAUUUAAAGAAAAUUCCUCUUGCAUUUAAAGAAAAAAAAAAAGAGCUAUUGGCCAAUGGCUAUAAAAAUAGCUGUUGGCCAACAAUUAUUUGUUUUUGCCAUUUCUACAGGGAAAUAUAGAAAUGACUUGCCAGUGAACAAAUAGCUAAAAUAGCUAUUUGUUUGGGUGCUGGGUUGGAGUGAAGAAAUGAAAAAGUAAAAGCUAAAAGUACACUUUUUAACAUUUGGCUUUUUAUUUGGCUCAUACGUUGGAGAUGCUGUUAAAACAAUUCAAUUAAUAUAAAAUAAAUAAAAACUUCUAUAAGAAGGUUAUAAUUUUUUUAAUUAAUUUAUUUUAAAAGUAUAUAUUUUAAUCUAAAUAUAAAGUAAUUAUAUAUAGACUAAAUUAAAAAUAUUUUUUAUUUUUAAUAAAAAAAAAACAAGAUAAAUAUAUAUCUUUUAACAUGCUCUCAAACUUGCAAUGUGAUAACUACAAGUAUUGAGAGUUUAUCAAUUAGAAAACAAAAGUGAGAAAUGGAUUGCAACUUGGUAAAGAAAUCUGUAAUUUGCAAUGAAAAAAAAACAAAAGGUAAAAUAAUGAUGUCAUGCUUGAGAUAAUAGCGAGUAAAAUAACAAUCGAUCUCAAUAUAUUUAGUUUGUUCAUGAAAAAUUGAAUUGUGAAUAAUAUAAAUAAAACUCUAAUUGUUAAAAUUCAAAGAAAUAGAAUAAGAAAAUUUUUAUUGAACUCCUAUUAAAAAAAUAAAUUCAAUAAUAAAAAUAUCUUUUAUUUUUAUUAUUAUUAUUAUUAUUAUUAUUAUUAUUAUUAUUCUUUUUCUUCUUCUUCUUCUUUUGCUGGAAUGUGAUUAUCAAGUCAUUAGCUCUCUCCUAAAACUUCUGUGAUAACUUUCCUUUUUUUUUUUCAAUAUCCCAAGAUUGAAAUAUGAAAAAAAUAAAUGAAACAUCAAUCUCUAAAACAAUAGCAAUCAAAAAUAUUAAAACUUUAAAGAUUAAAUUAAAAUUUUCCACGUCAAAAUCUGAAUGGUGUAUUUAUUUUUGUUCUUUGUUAAAUUUGGUUUUUGUUUCUUUUAAUUUUUUAUUUUGAACCACAAUUAAAUUUUAAAUUUAAAAAAUCAGAACCAGACUCAAAUUUAAAUUUUCUUAAAACCAAGCAUGCAGAAGAUAAUGUAAAUCAAAAGAAAUACAAACAAAUGAUACCAUGAUAAUAUAACUCUAAAGGAUAAAAUUAUAAAAAUAAAAAGUUUAAUAAUCAAAAUUAAAAAUACAUUGUUCUUAUAAACAGAUGAAUCCACAAUAAAAUGAGUAAAAUGAGUGUACGUAAAUCAUGUUUGUGCUACAAUUAAAGAUUCAUAUGUUUUAGUCAAUGACUAGUUGUGGACCCAUACUAUGUCAUAAGGUUAGAUUUUCUUUUUAUAUAAAAAUUAGUGUUGAGGUGUUGCAAAUAUAUUUUUAAGCAUGAAGAAGAAUUCUCAUUUUAGGUUAUAGACUUGACCAUGUCAAAUAGGAUAGUUUAUUUUAAUUAGAUGAUAGAAAAAAUAGAGUAAUGGAAAUAGAUGUACAAAAUUAAAGAAAAAGUCGUGAUAAUAUAGGGAAAAACUUUAGAGGAUGAAGUUGCAAGAAUUAAAAGUCCAAUGACUAAAAUUAAAAAAAUGAACUGCUCAUAUGUACAAUCAAAUCCACGACGAAAGCAUGAACAUUGUUUGGUGCCAUAGUAAAAGAUCCUUAUGUUCAAGCUAUUUCUGUAAUAAUCUCUAACUGUAAUUUGAGUUCCGUCAUCCAAUUGUAAGCUACACGUCGUCUGUGAUUGUCGGUUUUCUAUUCAGACAUCCUGUGAAUAGUCAGUCAAAGUGAAAUACAAGAAAACAAAUCCCUCUCUCCUCUCCCCGCUCUGUGAACUCUCCUUUUAGGUAGCCAUGACUGCGGCCACCAAGAAACACCUACCCUCCACACUUGAGGGUCCAGCUGCUGUGGUCAACCGUGUGACUUGUUCCGCCCCCAUCCCGGGUUCGACCCUCUAUGUGUACGCCUGUCACCCCCGCGGUGCCUUACAUGUUCACUGGGCUUGCAGGAUGCCCAGUGGGCCCGGGGACUAGUUGUGGUGCGCGCAAACUGGCCCGGACACCCCGGUUAUCAAAAAAAAAAAAAAAAAAGAAACACCUACCCUCCUCCGCUAAGCCACCCAAGAACCACCACUCUACCCCCAACACCACCACCACAACAACCCCACAACCUAACAUAACUCAAAACCCUAACCCAACCACCAAUCCAUCACCACUAUCUCCCACCCUCAAAGACCAGGUUUUGUCACGCGCCACCCAUAUCACGGACCAAGAACUCCUCAAAAGAAGGUCUUACAAGCUAAAACAACUCUCAAAAUGCUUCAAAGAUCAUUACUGGGCAUUAAUGGAAGAACUCAAGAUUCAGUACCGAGAAAAAAUUAACCGAAAAAACCGAACCGAUAGAAAAAACCGAAUAAACCGAUUAAAAAAACCACCCGGUCCGGUUCGGUUCCGGUUUAAGAAGGCUUAAACCGAUUAAACCGGACCGAACCGAACUAGUUUAAUUAAAUCUAAAAAAAUAUAUAAAAAAACAUCCUAAACUUAAUAAUUAAUACCCCCUCCCCCAAAACCUUUCCAGCUACCCCUCCCCUUUUCCCGGCUUUCUCUUCCCCCCACAAAAUAAAACCCAGCACUCUCAAUCCCCACCCACACAACCUUUCCCUCUAAACAUUUCUAAAACGUGUGAUUGGAAUGUCCAUCACAAGUGUAGAAGGAUAUUUGGGUCCCAUAUCCAGGACCGUGAUGAUUGUUAUUACCAAAGCUCUAAUUUUUUUCACUUAAAUAAGAGGACAAGACAGGACAUGACAGGACACGAGGAUAUAACGGUUUUAUCUUAUUUAAUUGAUUUCGGUUUUUCUGGUUUUUAAAGCUAAAAAACCGACCCGAACCGAACAAAACCGGUUCGGUUUGAACCGGUUCUCGGUUCGGUUCGGGUUAUAUUAACAAGGAAUAGAAUUUUCUGGUUCGGUUAAAUUUUCAUGUUAAAACCGGACCGAACCGGACCGUGAACACCCCUAAUCAUAGGAAUAUAAACAUAUACCUUCACUCUUUUUUAGAAGCUAAAAGGUUUAAAAUUAAUUUUUAAAAGUAUCAAUAUUAAAUUACCAUAAAUCAAGAAUAUAAUUCUAGAAAAAUCAAGGAUUAUUUUUAUAUAUAUUAACUUUUCAUUCACCUAUAAUUUGUUUAAAUCAUUUUAAUGAAAACAAGUUUCCAACACCAACACAUAACAACACACCUUUUUUAUUUAAUUUUUUUUAUUUGUUUUUUCAAUUUAGUUUUCAAUUGAUGCCCUCUCUUUUUAUAUAUAAUUGAUUAGUCUAUCUACUUUUUAAAUACUAAUUAAUUUUCUAAAUGAUUUUUUAAAAUUUUAUAAUGCCUCAAAGGGAUUAUUAUAAUUUGUUUUAAAUCUUUUAUCUAUUAAAUUCUUUAUCUCGAUAAGUUAUAUUUUCAUGAUAUAUUUAUAUUAAUGAAAAUCAAAUAUAUUUAGUAUCCAUUAUAAACUUUCAAGAUAAAUAAAUAAAUACUAGAAAAAAAUUAAUCAAGCCUGCAAUGUAACAUUAAUCACCAAUCGAAUUAUAAUCUAUACUAAAAGGCAUUAGUUUUUGAAAUUACUAUGCACUCUUUCACAAUACAUUAUGGAUUGGAGCAAAGAUUUUAUAUAUAUAUUUUCACUUUGGUCUUUGAACUUUUAUUUUGAGUGAUUUGAUAUUUUUUAGCCCAAAUUAGCCCCCAAUUGCACAUUGUUUUAGAAGAGAGGGUUGAAUUGAAAGAUAGGGAAUUGAAGUGAAAAUAUCGGGUAACAUAGGGGGUGGGUUGAAAAUUUUGCUAACACAUUCAUUUUAAGCCCCUAUCGUUUUUAAAUAUUAGGUGACCAACCCCUUGAAUCUUAAGAAAAUAUAUUUUUGUACCUAACUUCAUUUUUCUCUUUUUAGUUCUUUUUUUGUUGGGAGGAGAGGGAUGGAGUCGCCAAAUUCUAGCCUAUAGAGAGAAAAUGACUAUUUGAAAAGAUUACGGCCACCAAAAUGGCUGAUUUUUAUAUCAAAAAGUUUCAUAUGAUGAAGGGGUUUAGGUGUUUUUUUUUAUUAUUAUUUACCUAAAAAACACCUGAAAAAGAUCUGAGCUUUGGUAGAAUUUUUGUUUCAGUUAGAUUUUAGGUUUUGGGGCGGUUUAUUGGGUUUUUGGUGACCAUGGAUUGACUUAAUAACGUCUCUAGGGUUUUUUUCUAGGUAUCUUGGGGUAAAAAAUAGAUUGAAAAUUAAUUUUUGAGUAAAAAAAUAAAGGACCUUAUUUUUCCGGCCACCAUAAUGGCCGAAUUCUAGGUUGCGCAAAUGAUACAUCAUUGUUUUAUAUACUCAAGGCAUUAGAAUUGUUUUUAAAAUAAAGGCUUGCGCAUUAGCUGUUGCUGUAUUAGGUCAGAUAUUGGGCAUGGCUUGAUUCUUUUUUUAUUUUAUUUUUUAUUUUUAGUUUUGUGUGUAUUUUAUCAAAUAAAUUUUGGGUUUAUAUUUUAAUUAGAUUGUGAUUAAUUUUAAAUGAUAUUGAGUGUGUUUAAUUUUUAAAGAGGUAUGUAUGAUUCAUCUGUGAUUUUUUCUUAAUUUUAUAUAUAUUAAAUUUGUUUUUUUAAUAAGAAUUUUUAUAUGUGCAGUCUUACAUUGUUUAUAUAUAUAUAUAUAUAUAAUUAUUAUUCAAAACUUUUUAUGUAUGUGUCAGUUUCUAUUAUAAUUUUAGUUUGAUAGAGGGGUUCAUUAAACAUAAUGAUGUAAAUUACCCAUAUUGCAAUUUUAAUACUCAUUAUUUUUAUUGUAGUUUCUUGAUUUUUGAUUUUUGUGUUGUUUUUCUUGUGAUUUUAACCCUCAUAUUUUUUUUUUCUAUGUAUAGUACUUUCGUUCCUAUAACCUAGGUUAUUGUUUAAAAAGUUAACAGUAAUUGAUUUUUUUUGUUUUAUUUUUUUAUAUUCAUUUUUUUCUUUUUAUAUAAUUAUUCUAUUCUCUUUUAAUUUUUAUUCCAUUAACAAAUAAGAUCAUUGAGAUGUUUUGAAAAUAUUAUGAAUAUAUAGUUUUAUAAUAUUGACAAACAUUCAUCUUUUGCAUUGAAUCAUUGUUUUUUUUUUCUCGCUUUAUUUGUUUGUCAAUAUCAUUAAAUUAACUAAUUUUAUUAAAUUUAUUAAAGCAAAUUACAUUUGGAGUUAUGAGAAAUGGAACUCAAAGAUUUCUCGAAACAGAAGACCAUUGGUCCAUCACUUCUAAGAUAUGUAACUCUCAAUUCUUUCCAAACAUCGAAAGUUGUCGUGAAAUAAAGAAGAAUCAUCAGAAAGAUUCUAAACAGCGGUGUUGAGUGAAUCAUUGUGUGCUGUAAAAGUUUUUUUUUUUUAAGAUCAGACAUUUUGAAGUUUUGAAAAAAUCAAGAAGAUGAUGAAAAAGAAUGUUGAAACCACAAAUAUCUGAUUUAUGAGAAAUGAAGCUAUGAUACCAAGAAAAUUGUUGCGCAAGAAAUGAGAAACGCAGAGGAAAGAAAAGAAAAGUGGAUUCUUGAGAGAAGGAAAGUGUGUUCUGCUCUUCUAGAGAAUUAUAUGCAGAAACUUAGUUUACUCUUCUUUUAUUUCUCUUCUUCUUGUAUUGUCUAUACCAGGGGAUACGAAUGUAUAUAUAUAUAUACGCAUUUGCUAACUCUUAAUUUGUAGCAAAUUCACAGUCUAAAGCCUUCAUCAAACUAAAUUAUCAUAUUUAUAAAGGCCAAAAUCAUGGCCAGUUUUUGUGCACAUGAUCUGUAUAGGAAUUCCAUGUACAAUGCUUGAUAGUCAUAAGAAUAUAAAAUAUCCUUUGCGAGCCAUAUAGCUUGAUAGCCAGCCGGUAGAUCCACGGUUUGCCCUUUCUUGCAAAUGUUUUCAGCAUGCAACUAUUAGGUACUCAACCAUUCAUUUAGAAUUGAUAGUCUAAUGAUUGAUUUUUAAAAUAUUUUUAAUUUGAAAAGAUAUUAAAAUAAUAUAUUUUUUAUUUUUAAAAAUUAUUUUUGACAUCAGCUUAUUACAACGAUUUGAAACCAUUAAAAAAAUUAUUUUGAAGCAAAUAAAAAAUAAAACAAUUAAUUUGAAACAAAUUAAAAUUAUUUUUUUAUUAAUAAAUUAUAUUUUCAUGAUAAAUUUAUAAUAAUAAAAGUCAACUGUGAUAAACUGGCAAGAUAAAUAAAUAAUUGUUUUUUAAAAAAAUUGGUUCGGCCUGCUGCAGUGAUAUCAUCAUAUCCCAUGUCACAUUCUCAUUUAAAGCAACGACAAAAGUUUGAGCUCUUUGUUUUGAUCUGUUCAUUGGUUCUCGAGCCAGACAACAAGGCAUCUCUUUCGUUUGAUAUUUUAUACUGAAAGAGCCGGUCAAUUAUUUUAUAUUUCCUUAGUUUCUUUCAGAGCAAGGCGCCCUCAGGUCAAUGAUGAAGAAUAUUUGUAGGGUUCUUGAUUAUUUCUUCUUGUCGAGAAGCUUGUAGCAAUCUAUCACGGUGUGCUUGUCAAGAAAGAUGUACGUAUUAUAGGGUAGAAGUGGUAAAGAAAAGAGAUGAUAGGAGGAGGAUGAAAGCACAUGAUCUCUCUAGGAAUUCUAUGUACAAUUAAUGCUCGAUAAUCAACUUCUUUUCACGGUUAAAAGAUUAAAGAAUUAAUUUUUAUUAUUAAUAAUUUUUUACUCUUUAUAUAGAGAAUGACUUUAGAUUAAUUUUUUAUUUAUUUAUAAUUUGUUUAAAUUAUAUUAAAGAAAACAAAUUUCCAACGCAAAGCAUAAUAACACACCUUUUCAUUUAUUUUUUCUUACUUUGUUUCUUUAAUUUAGUUUUCAAUUAUAUCUUUUUCUUAAUCUGUUAGUUUAACUAUUUUUAAAUAGUAAAUAAUCUUUUGAAUGAUUUUUUAAAUUUCAUAAUAUCUCAAAUGGAUUAUUGUAAUUUAUUUUAAUUUUUUUUUAUAGCUAGAUAAGUUACAUUUGCAUUAUAUGUUUUUAAUGAUGAAAAUAAAAUGGACUUAGUAACCAUGAUAAACCUUCAAGAUACAUAAAAAAAAAAUCAUCUAUAAAAAAUGAUUACCAAGUUCAUGUAUAUUAUCAAGUUCAAGUAUAUUGGAUCUAGCAUACAUACACAACCUAUAUAUUUAUAAUAAAUAAAUAAAAUAACUUAAUAGUCUUCGCAAUUGAAGUAGGUAGGCUGAAUUGCCUAAAUAUGAUGAAUAAAGGGUUGAAUUUGCAAAAUGAUAUACACAUUUUAAUUUGUUGAUUUGAUACAUCUCAAUCUGUGAAUUGACACUGCAUUAGUAAUUAAGAACUUAGAAGGUGAAUCGACAGAAAAGAAGAAUAAGAACAAGAAGAAGGAGCAUUAGUACUAUUUCCUAUAUUCGAUGGUCCUCGAACCUAAUAUGUUAUUACUGAAAAGAUAAAUUUCUGAACCUAACUCACAACAAUUUCCUUCAUUAUUGCUCAUUAUUAUGUUAUUACUGAAAAGAGUAAAUUUCUGAUCACUCUAUUUCUGAGAUGGCUGCCAACUCUUGGUGAAGACGUCUCGCUGGCAUGCGGCCUGCGCUGGUUCUCUUAGGGACAGAGGAGCUAAAAGGAUCAGGAGGCUGUGUUAAGUUUUCUCCUUCAAGCAUUUGGACAACAGUUUUCAUGGAAGGACGCUCUGCUGGGUUCCACUGGAUGCACCAUAGCCCCACAAUUGCUAGUUUCUUCGCAAUUCUAGCAUCUUCUUCUCCAUCGAUAUGAAACCGCAGGUCUUCUUCCUUUUCUAAGAGAUUUCCGGGAAGUAUAUCUGGUCGCCAUUUUCUGCUGUAGCAUCGACGUUCUUCCUUCCUCCAACCAUUUCCAACACUAACAUCCCAAAGCUGUAAACAUCUGAUUUAUAGGAAACAUUCCCGAAGUUCCUCGAGAACACUUCCGGGGCAAUGUAGCCAACAGUCCCCCUAGCAGUCGUCAUGGAAAUGGCACUUUUAUCCUUGGAACACAAACUUAGCCAUCCCAAAAUCGGCGAUUUUGGGAUUGAAUUCGUUGUCAAGCAGGAUAUUCUGUGGUUUGAUAUCAAAAUGGAGGAUUCUUUGAUCACACCCCUGGUGAAGAUAUUCAAUCCCCUUGGCUAUGCCUAAAGCAACACGAUUCAACCUUUCCCAGCCAAGGAAAUGGUUCCUUGAGUCUGCUGAGGAUAUGAACUUCUGUAAAGAAUCAUUUGGCAAGUACUCAUAAACUAGAGCUCGUCUAAAUCCAUCAGCACAGAAACCGAUCAAGCGAACAACAUUGACAUGGUGGAUUCUUGCCAUUGUUCCCACUUCAUUGAUGAAUUCCUCCCCUUUUCCUAUGGAAUUAUUGAGGAGCUUCACAGCUACAGCAAUUUC